CCUACGGGUGGCUGCAGUGGGGAAUAUUGCAUAAUGGGCGCAAGCCUGAUGCAGCCAUGCCGCGUGUGUGAAGAAGGCCUUCGGGUUGUAAAGCACUUUCAGCGGGGAGGAAGGCGUUAAGGUUAAUAACCUUGUCGAUUGACGUUACCCGCAGAAGAAGCACCGGCUAACUCCAUGCCAGCAGCCGCGGUAAUACGGAGGGUGCAAGCGUUAAUCGGAAUUACUGGGCGCAAAGCGCACGCAGGCGGUCUGUCAAGUCGGAUGUGAAAUCCCCGGGCUCAACCUGGGAACUGCAUUCGAAACUGGCAGGCUAGAGUCUUGUAGAGGGGGGUAGAAUUCCAGGUGUAGCGGUGAAAUGCGUAGAGAUCUGGAGGAAUACCGGUGGCGAAGGCGGCCCCCUGGACAAAGACUGACGCUCAGGUGCGAAAGCGUGGGGAGCAAACAGGAUUAGAUACCCCGGUAGUC
rnacentral:rRNA from 1 species